AUAAAAAUAAGCUAAAGAAGCUAAUGGGUUCAUACCCCAUUUAUAUAGGUUUAACCCUAUUUUUUAUA
rnacentral:tRNA from 1 species